rnacentral:rRNA from 1 species
UGGGGAAUCUUGCGCAAUGGAGGAAACUCUGACGCAGCAACGCCGCGUGGGUGAAGAAGGCCUUAGGGUUGUAAAGCCCUUUCGGCGGGGAAGAUGAUGACGGUACCCGCAGAAGAAGCCCCGGCUAACUCCGUGCCAGCAGCCGCGGUAAUACGGAGGGGGCUAGCGUUGUUCGGAAUCACUGGGCGUAAAGGGCGCGUAGGCGGACCACCAAGUCAGGGGUGAAAGCCCUGGGCUCAACCUAGGAAGUGCCCUUGAAACUGAUGGUCUUGAGUCCGGGAGAGGAGAGCGGAAUUCCCAGUGUAGAGGUGAAAUUCGUAGAUAUUGGGAAGAACACCGGUGGCGAAGGCGGCUCUCUGGACCGGCACUGACGCUGAGGCGCGAAAGCGUGGGGAGCAAACA